rnacentral:lncRNA from 10 species
AAUUACAAUAGUCCAAAUUGACUGAAAAUACACAAUUACUAAAAAGUAAUAAAAAAUUUUUUUCCAGUAUAGGCACCUUGCACCUCCUUGUUUUUGUCUUACAUACAUGCCUGUGCACACACACAGAGCAUCAUCCUCUGCCCUGUCCCUGGAUUCUCUCUGGGCUGAGGUAAGGACCCACCACAGCUCUGACAAGACGAAGAGUCACAAACAUCUCCUUUUCCACAGUAAUCACAAGUGAAAACUCUGGACAAGAUUUCAUUAUAAAUCUCUGUAGCUUAUCCCUCAGUUAAUAAUUGUGAAACUUUUUUUUUAAAGCAAACUUUGUUGUACCACUGUGCUUUCCACAUGCAAGUUCCUUUAAUCAACAUGAAACUUUAUGAGAUAAACUAUUAUUUCCAUUUUAAUACGGAAACAGAAACACAGAGGCAAAGUAACCUGCCCAAGGUCACACAGGGAAUAAGGUGCAGAGCUGGAAUUUUUUUUAUUUUUAUUUUUUGAGACAGGGAGGGUCUUGCUCCAUUGCCCAGGCUGAAGUGCAGGGGCACAAUCUCAGCUCACUGCACCCUCCACCUCCCAGGCUCAAGCAAUCCUCCCAUGUCAGCCUCCCAAGUAGCUGGAGCACAACACUACGCCUGGCUAAUAUUUUUGUAUUUUUGGUAAAGAUGGGGUUUCUCCAUGUUGCCUAGGCUGGUCUCGAACUCCUGAGUUCAGGGUGAUCUGCCCAUCUCGGCCUCCCAAAGUGCUGGGAUUACAGAUGUGAGCCACUGCGCCUGGCCUAGAGCUGGAAUUUUAAUCUAUCAAAUGGGUCCUAGAGAGGUUACACUCAACCACUAGGCUCACACGCCAUGUCAAUGCAUCAAAUUGGGAUGGACAGCUACGAGGGACAGAGAUGCCUGCAGAGUGGAACUGGGACUCCCAAGUUUAAGACCAGCCUGGCCAACAUGGCAAAACCCCGUCUUUACUAAAAAUACAAAAA